GCCCCCGUGGCGAAAUGGUAUACGCAGCCGACUUAAAAUCGGCCGCUUCGGCUUGUGGGUUCGAGUCCCACCGGGGGCACCA
rnacentral:tRNA from 1 species